UGGCUGCACCUCUCCUAGACCUAGUUAAGAGCUGGCUACCAGUGGGGAAGGAUCUCGUCUGGAGGUCCCUUCUUCUGGUGCUUUCUGUAGGUGAGCCUAGCAUACAGGAAACUUCAGCCUUCAAGAAUAUACAUAAUUCUAUAUCCACAGUGAAGCUGUAGUCUGCAGACAAAAAAACCAAAACAACAAAAAAAACUCAAGAAAGGAGUGUCUGCUGGCUGUGAUGAAACAGCGCUGCUCUUUGAGGCAAAGAGUGCUGCACCUGCAUGAAGACAUCGUUUAGGAGGGUCCAGUGCCAAAUUCACUUUGCAUCCAACAUGAGAUGCCACCGAUGGUCCUUUUAAGCCAUGAAAGGCACCAGUGCGAGGAAACAACAAACAUAUCCCAUGGGCCAGCUGAGAAGCAAUGGACCUGGAGCUCACCAACUACAGGGUUGUUCUCGAGGAUGUAAGACUUGCCUGACCAAAGGGAAGUUCUCUGGAGUAGAUCCUAAAGAGGUCCUGAACCUUGUAGGCACGUAUGACAGUAUACUCCAGCUACAAUUCUGAGAACCAUCUUACUUUCUUUUUGUCUGCUUUAAAAAGCUUUUUGUUAGAUACUUCAUGUCUAAAUAAAGGUUUUGAUGCAAUAGGGUUUACAUUUGAGAGAAUAGAACAGUUGGAAAUUUCCAAGAGAUGCUACUGUCUUACAGGGACUUGUUUUAUUUUACAUAUCUGAACACAGAAGAGACCUUUGAAGUGUAAGUUGAGGAUGACACUAAUGUCGAGUAGGACUAUGAGCCUAGAAGAGGAAAAGUGCUAUAUCUGCAAUGGAUAGAGCAGCAUGUAGGAGAGGCAAAUUAAUAAAAUGAUAUAGCAUACACCUUAUAAAUUGACUUUAAUUAACAAGUACUGUUAAAAGGGUGGUGGAUACAGCUGCUCAACUGCAGUAUUUUAAUUACUUUGUUCAGCACCACAAACAACUCUUAAACGAGACAGACAACCCAAAGCAUACAAUACAGGUGUCUGGAUAUGGAACUGUAGUUGUUUCAUCCUUCCAAAACACAAUAGGCAUCCAGGGCAAUCUAUCCUUUAAGACGUGAUUAGUGCGAGGAAGUUUCCAGGCUCCUGGACACUCAACAUGCAGCAGGAAAAGAAAAAAAGUGUCAGCCUAUGGAUUUGAGGCAUUAUUUUAUUCUCUAAGUACAAUACUUUCCUCAAGAAAAUAAUUAGUUACAUGAGUUGUACAACUGCCCCUGUAACUUACGGUUUUCAAAACCCCUUAGAUUUUAAGAAAGGACAGUAACACAGAUGUUAUCUACAAUGGCACUGGAUGACUUCUGAAAAGUUCUUUCUUAAUUGCAUUUAAUUCCAUUAUUUGUUUUCCAUGCUAUUGCAUGAUGCUGCAAGAGCACAGAAAAAGAAAGAAGCUAAAAUCUUCAAACACCGAGGUGGAAAAGCUGGUGGAACAUUGUAUAAAAACUGGGCAAAGGGAAGAAAUUUUGAAGCAUCUUAGCUUUUCCAUUAGCUUUAUCAUAAAUAUGAAACAAGAAAAAAGAGUAAGAAGAACAAACUAACAUGGUGACAUCUAAUGACAAAUGCAGCUGUUCUCUGCUGUAAGAAUCUCUGGUGGAGAGUAACUGAAUUGAUGCUAGUAUGACAAACUAUGAAAUUAACACUUCUGAGAUAAGGUCUCUUCUGUGUGGUUGUGUUCUGCUGGUUAUUUAGUGGUAUCUCCAGCUGGCAGUAAAUGGAGCUGAAGAGAUCUUGGCUGUUCAGGACACACUCCUGCUUGAGAUUUUUGGACAUCCAUUUUAUUUCUGAAGUCUGCCUCAUGACAAGUGAUCAACAAGCCCUCUGACAUAAAGGGAGUGGCUCCCAUGGCCUCUUGAGCAUAGCUCAGCUCCUCAUUACAGUGCCAGAGGUUUUGCUUAGGCAAUUUUUUUACUUUUGUAAUUUAGAUCAGCUUCAGCACAAAACUGAUGUACUUCAGGAGAAACCAAUCUCUACUUGCACAGCAAAAUCUUUGCCUUCCAGUGAUUGUUAGGAUGUAAAGAUUAGACUUGCUUUUGUUUCUGAGAACAGCAGAAAUUCAAGAUGUCGCAGAGAUGGCUUUGGAUACUUACUAACAUGUUAAGCAAACCAAACAAAACCCCAACAAACAGGGAUGUCAGGAGAACAGUUAAGCAACAAGCCAGACAGAUACAGAUACAGCAAGAGCACUGCAGAUAUCUGCUUCUGGGAAGAGAAAUGAUGCCAGAGAUGAUGUCAGAUGAAGCUUCCAAAUAGGAUCAUUUCACUAAGAACAGUUAUCCUUUCAUAAUGAGCAAGUUUUGAGCUGCCAGCAAAAAUGUGAGAAUGGCAGUAGCAUAAAGACAGCAAAACCUCCAGUCUAAGAUCUUUUCUAAGGAGGUCAGAGAAAUCCAAGGGAAUUGAUGGUACAGUACACACAGACUGCACUGGUUUAUUUUCUCAUUCUACAAGAAACACUCUGGACACAAUAUGUAAAUACGGAUGGAUUUAAAGCACUUGUUCUGACAGUGGUUAAAAACAGAACAUUAAUUAUACCACAGGAGAGUUCCCAAUGAAAAUCUAUGAGCUUUUUCCAUUCCCAAGAUACUGUUCUACAAAAUCAAUUUAUACUCCUAUCAAUUUUAGAGCAAAAAAAAGAAAAAAAAAAAAAAAAAAAGAAAGAUCAAGCAAACUCGGAGGACUGUGUUUUGUGUACACAGAAGAAUUUGCAAAGGACACAAACAGAGUUUUCAGAAAUCCUUUCCAGUUCACAUUUCCAUCUCCAUCACGCCUAACCUCCCUAUUUUCCCUUAGCAAAUGCUGUGCUCUAAUUUUUAAAUGUAUUGCAUUCCUACAGGUCAACACUAAUGUGAGUGCAAACUUUUAAACUCUUACUUCAUCAAACUACUAUAGCUCAUGCUCAGACUUAGUACUGUUUUUGGUAACCUAGUGAGGUCAAGAAAGUAGAAUAAACAGACAGAGUGUCCCUAUAAACAUGGCAGUCUCUGCUACUACAGUCUUCUGAGAACUGGCAAGCACAAGCAAAAGUUGCUUUGGGUAGCACAGAAGCUCUUGCAGAGCUUUAUGAACUCUGAACAUUGGGUUCAGUCAUUAAGUAAAGCAGGAGAACACAAUGCAGUGAGCAUGAUGAAUUGUAGAUCUGGAAUGCCAAACAGAAGUCUUAACAGCUGGUCUGCAUCCAGUCAAUGUGACAGCAGUAUCCCCAUUCUCCUGUAUAUGGAGAAGCAUUAGACCUCAAAUUUGCACACAAUUGAGCAUAUCCAAAGUGUGAAUGUUUUAUCUAUUUUCUAAAAGACUAUUCAGCUGUCUGUAGUGCUUUCUGCUCCAGCCUGUUUAAUAUCUAGCAUUAUUCUACGUUUUAACCAUGAACUCCAUCCAGCUUUGCAGUGCUGAACAUCUACGCGGGGCUCCUUCAUACUAAAGUUUCACUCUGCCCUCUACUGAUUUUUUACAGAAGUACAGAAGUUUGCACCAAUACAAAAGGUUUCUACCGUCCUUUUUAUUUCAGGAUAACACAGAAACUUUCCCAAGCAACCCCAAACAGCCUCUUUCAUCCUUGAAUCUUUCGAUGUUUCAUUAGUUCAUCUCUCUCAAAACACUGGUAUUUUUCUUUCAGGAGAGUUGAACCAACAUGAGAGCACGUGGGGUGGGUGUGGGUAGGUCUGCCCAGCAAGAGAAAGUCUUCAAGUCAAGCAAAAGCUUUGUAAAAGACAGUGCAUAUGAGUAAACUUCAUCUAGAACAGUUUCUUGCAUGUCUUUGAAAUCUCUAAGAAAAAAAGACAAAACUGAAUGGCAGCUUGUUCAAGACCUCCUGCUAUUUCUAAUUUGGAUUCCAGUAGUCAAGCUCAUUUUCACAUUCAUAAUCUUCCCAAUUACUCAAGACUUGAUUGACAUAAAAUUUAGAUAAUUUUUAAAUUAAACAGCUCUUGGAGAUGGAAACACAUAUUUGGUCUUAUUUUGAAAGGUGUAAUAAAGCAACUGGAAACACACUGCAGAUACUGUCACCUCCACUAGAACAACUACUUCUAAAUCAAAUCAAGCUUAGCCUUUUUGAAGAGGCAAUAUCAAAAACGUGUAGGUACUCACACUUUCCUUUAACUAACUGUAAAAGGCAUUUAUUAAGAAUAUGCUUAAACUUAGAUCUUAGCAUCAACUCUGUACAACCUUUUCCCUCAUCUUGCACUGAGACUACCAAAACGGCUUCCUUUCUGGCUGCAAUAAAUGCCAUUUUACCACCUCA